rnacentral:rRNA from 1 species
ACCUGGUGGCCAUGGCGGGGAGCGAACCACCCGAUCCCAUCCCGAACUCGGCCGUGAAAUGCCCCAGCGCCUAUGAUACUGCGUCUUAAGACGCGGGAAAGUCGGUCGCCGCCAGGUCC